rnacentral:rRNA from 1 species
GACGAACGCUGGCGGCGUGCCUAAUACAUGCAAGUAGAACGCUGAAGCGAGGAGCUUGCUCUUCUUGGAUGAGUGGCGAACGGGUGAGUAACGCGUAGGUAACCUGCCUUGUAGCGGGGGAUAACUAUUGGAAACGAUAGCUAAUACCGCAUAACAAUGGAUGACACAUGUCAUUUAUUUGAAAGGGGCAAUUGCUCCACUACAAGAUGGACCUGCGUUGUAUUAGCUAGUAGGUGAGGUAAUGGCCCUACUAAGCGACGAUACAUAGCCCGCCUGGGAGGGUGGUCGGGCACACUGGGACUGGGGCACCGCCCAGACUCCUUCGGGAGGCAGGCGUAGGGAAUCUUUGGCAAUGGGGGCAACCCUGGCCGGGCAACGCCGCGUGGGUGGAGAAGGUUUUCCGAUCGUAAAGCUCUGUUGUAAGUCAAGAACGGGUGUGAGAGUGGAAAGUUCACACUGUGACGGUAGCUUACCAGAAAGCGACGGCUAACUACGUG